CCCUACGGGAGGCAGCAGUGGGGAAUAUUGCACAAUGGGGGAAACCCUGAUGCAGCAACGCCGCGUGAGUGAAGAAGUAUUUCGGUAUGUAAAGCUCUAUCAGCAGGGAAGAAGAAAGACGGUACCUGACUAAGAAGCCCCGGCUAACUACGUGCCAGCAGCCGCGGUAAUACGUAGGGGGCAAGCGUUAUCCGGAAUUAUUGGGCGUAAAGAGUACGUAGGCGGUUCUUUAAGCGCAGGGUUU
rnacentral:rRNA from 1 species